rnacentral:rRNA from 1 species
UACAGAGGGGGCAAGCGUUGUUCGGAAUUACUGGGCGUAAAGGGCGCGUAGGCGGCCUGCUAAGUCGAACGUGAAAUCCCUGGGCUCAACCCAGGAACUGCGUCCGAUACUGGUUGGCUUGAAUUCGGGAGAGGGAUGUGGAAUUCCAGGUGUAGCGGUGAAAUGCGUAGAUAUCGGGAGGAACACCGGUGGCGAAGGCGGCGACCUGGGUAGAUACUGACGCUGAGGUGCGAAAGCGUGGGGAGCAAACAGG